UUGGGGGAGAGGAGAAGAAAGAAAGAAGAAGAAGAAGAAGAGGAAGAGAAGGAUGGAAGGCUGGUCUGGGCUGGAAUUUUGGGGGCUGCACAUGCUGUUGCUACUACAUGGCUGCUGCUCAGCUGCUGAUGUUUCCUUCUAUCCCGUUGCUUACUUCUCUACUAUACAUACACAUAUAGGAGAAAAGAGAAGGAGAAGGGGAUUUCAUGCUUGGAGGCUGUUGCUGCUGUCCUUGUGUUGUUAUGCAUGAGUUGCUGUCCAAACUGAUACCUGUUGCUGCUGCAUGUUGCUGUUCAAGCAAGAAACAAGUAAAUUAGGGAGUAUGGUAGCUGCUGUACACACACCUUGAGGAACCUAAUUCAUUCGACAAGGAUACGCAAUGAUGGGAAUUCAGUGAAAAACCAUUGGAUUUGUGUAUCGAGGUGAGUGGGUGAUUGUGACUUUAUUUUCGGAGUGUUUCUAUAUAUAUUUUGUUACUGUAUGCUCAUGUGAAGAGAGAACAGGUUGUCUCUCCGAGUCCCACUUUCCCUUCUUCAAUAGCACCGGCACCGGCACCGGCACCAGCGCCAACAUUGGCACCAACACCCUCACCAAUGCAAUUGUAGUAACCAAGUUACUAAUUGUCUCUCGUCUUAGAUUCUUCAUUCUUCUCUUUUCUCGCAGAUUGCAGUCAUCCCUUCCUUUCUCUGUUUCCUCCUCUUUUUUCUUUCCCUUCACUUUCAGGGAACGUGAAACUGUCCGGCCUUUGACUUCGAUCGAGCAAUUGAGAUAUUGAUAUCAUCAGAAAAAUGUAAGAAUCCCCAACCUAGGGAUUUUGAUAGUUUCUUCUACUGUGAGAUUAUUACAGAUUUGCAAAAUCUUAAAAUACAAAACAAUACUAGGUUGAUAACUCUCUCUUCUCAUAUACUCUAUUUCUUAAGUUGUAAAAAAUGGUUAAAAAAAAUACUCUUGCACAUAAGGAGCCUUUGUUUUCAGGCUCCACCUGCUAGGGUCGUUGAUAAUGACUUGAAUCUCUUUGGGGAAGAGACAGAAAAGGACAAGAAAGCCACUGAAAAACGUGCUGCAAUUAUCAAAGUAGUUUGGAAGAAGAAAGAAUGUAAGUUGUUAUUUUCUACUUUCUAUACAUUAUAGUCUGUUAUGAUAUCUCCUUUCUAUUUCGUCCCACUGAAAAACAUGCUGCAGCAAUCAAAGCAGUUGGGAAGAAGAAAGAAUUUAAGUUAUUAUUUUCUACUUUCUAGACAUUAUAGUCUAUUAUAAUUUCUCCUUUUUAUUUCAUCUUUUGAGUUUCUUCCCUUUUUUUUUUUUGAUGUUUGGUUUGCUUUGAUAAACUGAAACUAUUAAAUUUUGUCCAUUCUCCCAUUUUUUUUAUAGUAUGCUUCCUUAAAAAAAAUGCAAAUCUAUAGGUGUUGACUUAAACUGGCAGUUUUAUUGUUUUGUAUGUAAAACCUGAAAAUUAUUUUCUUAUUUUUUGUUAUCAGCUAAACAAUCCUCUGUUUUGUUGGAUACAAAGCCCUGAAAUGAUAAAAAGUAAAUUGCAAAAACUUGAAGCAGUCAGAAGUGUUUGUUCCAAUUGGAAGGCUAACACUAGGGAGCAUGUAUGUUGUUUUCCUUCUGUAUCAGAAUCCAGAUGUUCAGUCUUUCUUAUUGGUUUUGUAUUGCUCUAAUUUGUGCUUGAGAAUGUGAAAAAUAUUUUCCCUAAACCUCUUCUGGAUGUAAGCUUCAAACUAAUACCACCUGUUGGAAUGAAACUUCUGUAUGUCGUGGCUAAUCUUUUUCUUGAUUAUUUUAACCUUAUUUCAUAUUUUAAAUACCUUAUAUUUUUCAUUACGCAUUUUUAUCUUUCAUCCUUCUUUUUAUAAAAUAUUGGUACCCUUUUAUUUAUAUAUCCUUUUUAACCAAUGUUAGAAAAAAAAAAAUUCGACAUAUUUUAGUUGAAAAUUCACUUUAUCCUUCACUUCCUCCCAAGUCCCGACCUAAACCUUCUCUUUCUCUGAGAACAUCGUGAAGAGAGAACAGGUUGUCUCUCCGAGUCCCACUCUCCCUCCUUCUUUGAUAACAUCGGCACCGGCACCGGCACCGGCACCGGCACCGGCACCGGCACCGGCACCGGCACCAAUGCAAUGGUAGUAACCAAGUUACUAACCAUCUCUCCUCUUAGAUUCUUCAUUCUUUUCUUUUCUUGCCGAUUGCAGAUCAUCCCUUCCUUUCUCUAUUUCCUCCUCUUUUUUCUUUCCCUUCUCUUUCAGGGAACGUGAAACUGUCCGGCCUUUGACUUCGAUUGAGCAAUUGAGAUAUUGAUAUCAUCAGAAAAAUGUAAGAAUUCCCAACCCAAUUAUUUUGAUUGUUUCUUCUACUGUGAGAUUAAGACAGAUUUGCAAAAAACGGUUGUACAAAAUACUCUUGCAUAUAAGGAGCCUUUGUUUUCUGGCUCUGGCUGCUGAGGUCGAUGAUAAUGACUUGAAUCUCUUUGGGAAAGAUACAGAAGAGGACAAGAAAGCCACUGAAAAACGUGCUGCAAUUAUCAAAGUAGUUGAGAAGAAGAAAGAAUGUAAGUUGUUAUUUUCUACUUUCUAUACAAUAUAGUCUGUUAUGAUAUCUCUUUUCUAUUUCAUCCCGCUGAAAAACACGCUAAAGCUAUCAAAGCAGUUGGGAAGAAGAAAGAAUUUAGGUUAUUAUUUUCUACUAUCUAGACAUUAUAGUCUAUUAUAAUUUCUCCUUUCUAUUUCAUCUUUUUAGUUUCUUCCCUUUUUUUUCUGAUGUUUGGUUUGCUUUGAUAAACUGAAACUACUAAAUUUUGUCUAUUUUCUCCCAUUUUUUUUUAUAAUAUACUUCCAUAAAAUCAUGUAUAUGACAACAUCUGGUAAUGCAAAUCUAUAGAUGUUGACUUAAACUGGCAGUUUUAUUGUUUUGUAUGUAAAACCUGAAAAUUAUUUUCUUAUGUUUUUGUUAUCAGCUAAACAAUCCUCUGUUUUGUUGGACAUAGAGCUCUGCAAUAAAAAAAAAAUGAAUUGCGAAAACUUGAAGCAGUCAGAAGUGAUUGUUUCGAUCGGAAGGCUAACACUAGGGAGAAUGUAUGCUGUUUUCCUUCUGUAUAAAAAUCCAGAUGUCUUGUCAUUCUUAUUGUUUUUUUUAUUGCUCUAAUCUGUGCUUGAGAAUGUGGAAAAUAUUUUCCCUAAACCUCUUCUGGAUAUAAGCUUCCAACUAAUACCACCAGUUGGGAUGAAACUAUAGUAUGUCGUGUAUAUGUUCCUAUUAUUAGAGAUGGCAUAUUCUUGGUAGCACCCAUCCCACCACAAAUCCGCUCAGAGUUGAAAACUUUAACCAUUCCAUGCAUCAUAGUUCACCAGAUAGAGAUGGAUAGGUUGUACCCAACAUAUGCUCUUCCACUGGGCUUCCACUGUGAGUUUAUUCUCUACCACUGAAUCCCUGCCUCUUGAUCACAAUAACCUCACACCAUUAUUAGUCCAGAAAUGGACACACUUGUCCAUCUUAGGCCUGAUAUGGUGGUGAUGUGAUAUGCACGCUGCUUCGCAUUUCUCUUUCCGUCCAUGUGAAUGAGUGGUAAACCAUCAUCACUGACUCAAGCAUUGCUUUGUCCACGCUUGGCAACCAUAACCUGCUUCUCCAAGCUUGUAGUUCCAGGACUAAAUAUCCAGAGCCAUUUCAUGCCUUCGUUUGGAAUCUCAAAGUGUAGCCUAGAGCUCUACAAGAUGGAGUUCUAGAGGGAGAAAAUAUAUGAAAGGGGUCUAGAGUUCACCAAUCCCUAUGCCCCAAUGUCGAUGAUUUUGGGUUCAGAAUUAUGUUCCUUGUAUAAUGAGUUCUAAGUUUGAUAUUUACCAUGCAUACUGUUCUUAGUUUUUAGUAAUUUCCUGAUGGUAGAAAUUAAUGUUGUUGAUUCCUGUGCUUCUCCAAUCAACUAUUUCGGAUUAGAAUCUAACAUUUAUUUCCUAUGAUUUUUUAAUCAAAUUAUUCCAACCUUUAUUUCCUAUGAUUUUUUUAAUCAAAUUAUCUCAACCUUUAUUUCCUAUGCUUUUUUUAUCAACUAUAUUAUUGUUUUAUGUGAACUGUAGGAUUGACUUAAUCCUUCACUGAAUAUGAUUGUGCUAUGAAAAUUUGUUGCAUUGCAAAUGGAAUGCAUGGUUCCCUAUGAAGACCUUUGUUGAGGAUGAUUCAACAAGUAUUUUUCUUAGUUGUAUGGACAAUGGAGAAAAUAUUCUUGAAAUUACACCCAUUCAAAGAUUCUGGAUUUCAUGUAAUGGGUGUUCAACCAUAUCCUAUGUAACAAGGACAUUUCAUAUUCAUUUGUGCCAAACAUUGAUACUCGAUGUUUAUGUUCCUCACCAUUAAUUUUGUUUUCUAUAUAAGCCUACAUAAUUUUCAGAGCAAGUGUUGUGUUGGGACAUUGAAACCCAUGCUAAUGUUCUUGUUACCUAGCCUUUA